rnacentral:lncRNA from 1 species
UCAAACAAGAAGUCACUAGUUUUGCCUGUCUCUCUAAUGAAUUUCGCUAGUGGCAAUCACUUGAAGAUGCAAUCCACCACUCGCAGCGGUGAGGUUAGGUUGGCCAAGGCAUCGAUCGUGGUUAAUAAUCAUGUAUUCUUUCUCACCUAUGAUUUCGAGAGGAAUAAGAUAACUUCAAGGGUUAAGUUUAACCCGUUAUCAGCCAGUAUUGGGACUUGCUUGAGGUCGAAUUUUUGGGAUGAUACUGAGAGCAUUAUGUAUUUGGAAACCUGAAAAGUUAAUAAAUAUGACGUUUGGCCAUCAUUUGUUUUUUAUAUUAUUUUCAAAAUAGAGUUUGGUGUAAACAUUCCCUCUGAGGCUCCAAAAUGAUGAUUCAAGUAUGCGCAUAUGUAGUAGCUGGAUAGGUCAUGAGUUGCUUAUGGCACAAAACUAAGAAGGUUUUUCAGAUAAACUCAUUAGUUUUCAUUUCGCAUUUAGUUUAUGGAGGUGGUGAUGUUUACAGUUUCCAAGUCAACAAACAUGAAAUUUACAUGCUGGCCACAGGGCAGGUGACAACCAAAGUGCUUUGAUCCGGAUCUUGUAGAUGCUGCUGCUUUUGCUAUUGUUUCACUUUGUUUUACAGAAUUUUUUUCCUAAUUUUCCUUUGCCACUACGUUUUCUGGAUACCUUGAUCAGUUGAAGGGUCCCCUUAAAAACAUCAAACAACAAACUAGUAAAAAAUCUUGUGCUUGCGGGGAAGAGCUUCUCAAUGGAAAACAUCACUAUGUCUGGACAUAAUGAUAAUUAGUCAGAAAUGGGCGAAUUUUGACAGAAUCAGCAUUUUUUUGUUUCAAAGAGAAGAUAACGCCCACAUAUUUUAAAGUAAAGUUAUUUGUAAAGUAAUGUCAAGUGCAUUGUGGAGUUUCAUCCAAGAGCUGAAAGCUAUUAAAAUAUAUGCGAAAGAGGGACAUAACAGAUUUUAUUUGUUAGCCUAUAAGUCUUUCUUAUAGAAAGCAUAGCUAUUCUUUCAUUUUCAGUUUCAUAUCUGUAUAUAAAUGGUUGUAUUAAAUUGUGUUUGUACCUGGAAAAGUUCUUUUGAUAUUAAAAUAUUCUGAUUUGGUUGAAAUAGAUACUCUACAUAUAAAUAAACAAAUUAAUUCUGAAACAAAUAAGAAUGUUAUCUAAUAUUAUUAAAUCAGAAUUCCGAAUCCGUGUCAAGAUUAUGCCUUUGAUUUUAUUAACUAUUUACAAUUGCAUGCCAUUAAAACCUAGUUUUAAUACAAACUAGAUCUCGAUCACCGCAACCGCACGGGUUUUUGUUUUUAUUUAUUUUUAUAUAAUUUUUUUUUCAAUUCUAAAUUGCUAUAUAUUAUAAUAUCUGGUCAAACAAGAAGUCACUAGUUUUGCCUCUCUCUCUAAUGAAUUUCGCUAGUGACAAUCACUUGAAGAUGCAAUCCACCACUCGCAGCGGUGAGGUUAGGUUGGCGAAGGCAUCGAUCGUGGUUAAUAAACAUGUAUUCUUUCUCACCUAUGAUUUCGAGAGGAAUAAGAUAACUUCAAGGGUUAAGUUUAACCCGUUAUCAGCUAGUAUAGGGACUUGCUUGAGGUCGAAUUUUUGGGAUGAUACUGAGAGCAUUAUGUAUUUGGAAACCUG